rnacentral:rRNA from 2 species
UACGGAGGGUGCAAGCGUUAUCCGGAUUCACUGGGUUUAAAGGGUGCGUAGGCGGGCAGGUAAGUCAGUGGUGAAAUCUCAGAGCUUAACUCUGAAACUGCCGUUGAUACUAUCUGUCUUGAAUAUUGUGGAGGUAAGCGGAAUAUGUCAUGUAGCGGUGAAAUGCUUAGAUAUGACAUAGAACACCUAUUGCGAAGGCAGCUUACUACGCAAUCAUUGACGCUGAGGCACGAAAGCGUGAGGAUCAAACAGG